GGGAGCCUGUCAGGGCGGGCUGGUGAGCAGAGGGGCGAGGCCUUGGGGGCACGCACAGGUGUGUGAGUGAGCGAAGUCCUCUGAGAGCGUUCUUAGAGAUGGAGCCAAUGUCAUUGUCCUCGAUGAAGCUGUGGAGGGAAGGCAUGGUGAGCGGGAGGCCCUGGGUUCCCUGCUGUGGCCCCGUGGUGCUUGGGGGGAACUCACCCCACGGGAGCCCUAGGCCCCUGGAAUGUGCCGACGCCUCCCCGGAAACCUCUCCUCCCCAGGGUCCCAGACUACAAUCCCAGGAGCCAGGAGCCUAACCCUGUGCUCAGUUGCCAGCCUGACAGCGAACGCUGCCACCCCCAUCACCACCACUGCCACCAUUUCCAGAAGCACUGGCACUGGGACAGGCGCUCCCGGUACCAACGGUCCCACUGUCCCCAGCACCCCCUUCUCUACCCGCCACGAGCACCCCUACUGCCGCAGUUUUCCCACGUACCGGCACCUCCGUCGUCCCCGCCAAGCCCAGUACCUACCACGUCGCCCUUACGCCCACACGACGCCGACGCCGACAUCCUACCCACAGCCGCCGCCAAUAGCAACACCGAUACGUGAUGGCCAACACCCACGACACUGAUAACGCUAAUCAGACUCCAUCAUCAGUAUCGCCACCGGCGCGACCGCCAUCGGGUCCGCCAUCUUUGCCAACGUCAUCCCCACUCCGUGGUCCUCCAUCGUGCCGGCACCUCCCCGCGAGCGGCCGCAGGAUCGCCUUCAACACCGUUAUCGCCAACAGCGGCCCAAUGCCGGCGUCGUCGUACCGCCCUCCCCGCCACCCCUACCAUCACCGCCUCAGAGUUGUCUCCUGUUAAUUGGAAACAUCUCCUUGCCUCCGGCCUCUCUGUGCGCUCCCCGGGCUCCCGUAAGCCGGGUAGGGCCAGAAACAGUCUUGGGUUCCCUAGGCCCUUUGUGCACCUUGCAGCACAGAGAGGGGAGGUGAGCAGGCUUCUUGCCAAGACGCCAGGCCUCUUGCCCCUCCAGGAGGGACCCUUGUCCGGACCCUCUCGCCCGUGCCAGUAAGCCUCUAUACCUCCCUCCACUCUAGGAGCCACACUCUACCAAGCCCCCGUCCCUGCCCCCAUCCCCUGGCCUCACUCACAGGUACUGCAGGUGGGACAGGCCCGCAAAUGCAUCGUCCUCAAUCACGGAGAAGGAGUUGGAUGUGAAGAGGCUGGCAAGGGAGCAAGAAAGAAUUUUUGCAGAGUUGCUGCCCCCUCUCUGACAUUUUAACCUCGGCCUCCACCCUCAACCCAGGCACAAACGCUGAGGAGAGAGGUCAAGUAAUUUGCGAUUUGGGUUGCUGACUGGGGCUGAGCCAGCACUCAAGCCCCGGCAGCUGGCUCCAGGGCCUGUCUCUUGAUUUUUGUGUUCUUUCUUGGGAGACCAGAACUCACGAACACUGGUUGUUUUCAUUUGGACUCUGCUUUUAGCAUUAAAUAAGCAAAAUCCAGAAAUAAAUGACACGUGUUCCCCAACCUGAAA